AUUGAACGCUGGCGGCAUGCCUUACACAUGCAAGUCGAACGGUAACGGGCCUUCGGGUGCCGACGAGUGGCGAACGGGUGAGUAAUACAUCGGAACGUGCCCGAUCGUGGGGGAUAACGAGGCGAAAGCUUUGCUAAUACCGCAUACGAUCUACGGAUGAAAGCAGGGGACCGCAAGGCCUUGCGCGGACGGAGCGGCCGAUGGCAGAUUAGGUGGUUGGUGGGAUAAAAGCUUACCAAGCCGGCGAUCUGUAGCUGGUCUGAGAGGAUGAUCAGCCACACUGGGACUGAGACAGGGCCCAGACUCCUACGGGAGGCAGCAGUGGGGAAUUUUGGACAAUGGGCGCAAGCCUGAUCCAGCCAUGCCGCGUGCAGGAUGAAGGCCUUCGGGUUGUAAACUGCUUUUGUACGGAACGAAAAGCCUUCUUUUAAUACAGGAGGGUCAUGACGGUACCGUAAGAAUAAGCACCGGCUAACUACGUG
rnacentral:rRNA from 1 species